GACGAACGCUGGCGGCGUGCUUAACACAUGCAAGUCGAACGGAAAGGCCCUGCUUUUGUGGUGUGCUCGAGUGGCGAACGGGUGAGUAACACGUGAGUAACCUGCCCUUGACUUUGGGAUAACUUCAGGAAACUGGGGCUAAUACCGGAUAGGAUCUCCUGCUGCAUGGUGGGGGUUGGAAAGUUUCGGCGGUUGGGUAUGGACUCGCGGCUUAUCAGCUUGUUGGUGGGGUAGUGGCUUACCAAGGCUUUGACGGGUAGCCGGCCUGAGAGGGUUACCGGCCACAUUGGGACUGAGAUACGGCCCAGACUCCUACGGGAGGCAGCAGUGGGGAAUAUUGCACAAUGGGCGGAAGCCUGAUGCAGCAACGCCGCGUGCGGGAUGACGGCCUUCGGGUUGUAAACCGCUUUCGCCUGUGACGAAGCGUGAGUGACGGUAAUGGGUAAAGAAGCACCGGCUAACUACGUG
rnacentral:rRNA from 1 species